rnacentral:rRNA from 1 species
UCUACCUACGGGGCGCAGCAGUGGGGAAUAUUGCACAAUGGGGGAAACCCUGAUGCAGCAACGCCGCGUGAAGGAAGACGGUUUUCGGAUUGUAAACUUCUGUUCUUAGUGAAGAAGAAUGACGGUAGCUAAGGAGCAAGCCACGGCUAACUACGUGCCAGCAGCCGCGGUAAUACGUAGGUGGCAAGCGUUGUCCGGAAUUACUGGGUGUAAAGGGAGCGCAGGCGGGAAUGCAAGUCAGAUGUGAAAACUAUGGGCUCAACCCAUAGCCUGCAUUUGAAACUGUAUUUCUUGAGUGCUGGAGA